GAUGAACGCUGGCGGCGUGCCUAAUACAUGCAAGUCGAGCGGUAAGGCUUUCACAGAUUAUUUAACCAGAUAAGUUCUUCGGAAAACUGUUUGCAGCGAUGAUUCCCGGCUAGGGAAUCAGAGUUGAAUAAUGCGUGAAAGUACACGAGCGGCGGACGGCUGAGUAACACGUAGGAACGUACCCCAAAGUGAGGGAUAAGCACCGGAAACGGUGUCUAAUACCGCAUGUGAUCUUCGGAUUAAAGCUUCGGCGCUUUGGGAACGGCCUGCGCAUGAUUAGCUUGUUGGUGAGGUAAAGCUCACCAAGGCGACGAUCAUUAGCUGGUCUGAGAGGAUGAUCAGCCAGACUGGGACUGAGAACGGCCCAGACUCCUACGGAGGCAGCAGUAGGAAG
rnacentral:rRNA from 1 species